UUUGACUCCUUGGGCUAUUUUUUUCCUUUUGAGGAAAUUGGCUUGCUUUGAAGUUUCUUUCUCCUCAAGUCGAGAAUCUGCUUUUUCCCAAAGGUGGGACCUGUUUUACACUGAUAUAUUCGUCUGCUUAAUAUUCUUGUGCUUAUGUGGAUAUUUCUUAGUUUUUCAUUUUUUAAGGUGAGCCACCCAUUUCUUAAUUAACAUAUGUGACCAAUACUGCAGUUUGAAAUGAGCCUAAAGUGUGUGGGACUGUUUUGUGAGGGUACAGAUUGUAAAACCUUCGACAUGAU